GAUGAACGCUGGCGGCGUGCCUAAUACAUGCAAGUCGAGCGAACAGAUAAGGAGCUUGCUCCUUUGACGUUAGCGGCGGACGGGUGAGUAACACGUGGGUAACCUACCUAUAAGACUGGGAUAACUUCGGGAUACCGGAGCUAAUACCGGAUAACAUUUGGAACCGCAUGGUUCUAAAGUGAAAGAUGGUUUUGCUAUCACUUAUAGAUGGACCCGCGCCGUAUUAGCUAGUUGGUAAGGUAACGGCUUACCAAGGCGACGAUACGUAGCCGACCUGAGAGGGUGAUCGGCCACACUGGAACUGAGACACGGUCCAGACUCCUACGGGAGGCAGCAGUAGGGAAUCUUCCGCAAUGGGCGAAAGCCUGACGGAGCAACGCCGCGUGAGUGAUGAAGGGUUUCGGCUCGUAAAACUCUGUUAUUUGGGAAGAACAAACGUGUAAGUAACUGUGCACGUCUUGACGGUACCUAAUCAGAAAGCCACGGCUAACUACGUG
rnacentral:rRNA from 1 species